UACGUAGGGUGCAAGCGUUAAUCGGAAUUACUGGGCGUAAAGCGUGCGCAGGCGGUUGUGCAAGACAGAUGUGAAAUCCCCGGGCUCAACCUGGGAAUUGCAUUUGUGACUGCACGGCUAGAGUGUGUCAGAGGGGGGUAGAAUUCCACGUGUAGCAGUGAAAUGCGUAGAGAUGUGGAGGAAUACCGAUGGCGAAGGCAGCCCCCUGGGCUAACACUGACGCUCAUGCACGAAAGCGUGGGGAGCAAACAGG
rnacentral:rRNA from 1 species